rnacentral:rRNA from 1 species
GCGUGCGGGAAGAAGGCCUUCGGGUUGUAAACCGCUUUUGUCAGGGAAGAAAAGUUUCGGUCUAAUACAUCGGGACGAUGACGGUACCUGAAGAAUAAGCACCGGCUAACUACGUGCCAGCAGCCGCGGUAAUACGUAGGGUGCAAGCGUUAAUCGGAAUUACUGGGCGUAAAGCGUGCGCAGGCGGUUGUGCAAGACAGGUGUGAAAUCCCCGGGCUUAACCUGGGAACUGCACUUGUGACUGCACAGCUUGAGUGCGGCAGAGGGGGAUGGAAUUCCGCGUGUAGCAGUGAAAUGCGU